rnacentral:rRNA from 1 species
AGAUUAAGCAAAAAAGAGCGCAGGGUGGAUGCCUUGGCACUAAGAGCCGAAGAAAGACGUGAUAAGCUGCGAAAAGCUGCGGGGAGAUGCAAAUAAUCUUUGAUCCGCAGAUGUCUGAAUGGGGAAACCCGGUACGAAGAACUCGUAUCAUCCAUACGCCAAUCCAUAACGUAUGGAGGGGAACCCGGUGAACUGAAACAUCUAAGUAGCCGGAGGAAGAGAAAGAAACAUCGAUUUUGUUAGUAGCGGCGAGCGAAAGCGAAAGAGGCCAAACCGGAGUGCGUGCACUCCGGGGUUCGGACCGCAUUUAAGAUUCAGUGAUUCUAGCAGAAAGGUUUGGGAAAGCCUGCCGGAGAGGGUGAAAGCCCCGUAAGCGAAAGGAGAACUGACUGAGCGGGAUCCAGAGUACAUCGAGACACGAGAAACCUUGAUGGAAUGAGCGGGGACCACCCCGUAAGCCUAAAUACUACUUAGUGACCGAUAGCGCAUAGUACUGUGAAGGAAAGGUGAAAAGGACCCCGGGAGGGGAGUGAAAGAGAACCUGAAACCCUGUGUUUACAAGCUGUGGAAGUUCUUUAAAUGAACAACCGCGUACUUUUUGUAGAACGGUCCGGCGAGUUGCGGAUACUGGCAAGGUUAAGCACUUAAGGUGCGGAGCCGAAGGGAUACCAAGUCUUAACAGGGCGUUAAGUCAGUAUACGCAGACCCGAAACCGGGUGAUCUAUCCAUGUCCAGGUUGAAGUUGUCGUAAAAGACAAUGGAGGACCGAAGCCACAUCCGUUGAAAAGGGUGGGCAUGAGGUGUGGAUAGGGGAGAAAUUCCAAUCGAACCCGGAGAUAGCUGGUUCUCCUCGAAAUAGCUUUAGGGCUAGCCUCGAUUUAGUCUUAUGGAGGUAGAGCACUGAAUUUCCGCGGGGGCGUCAAAGCUUACCAAAGAAUAUCAAACUCCGAAUGCCAUGUAGAUGAUGAUCGGGAGUCAGACUGCACGAGAUAAGUUGGGCAGUCAAAAGGGAAAGAGCCCAGACCACCGGCUAAGGUCCCAAAGUGCGUGUUAAGUGGAAAAGGAUGUGGGAAUUCGAAGACAACUAGGAUGUUGGCUCAGAAGCAGCCAUACAUUCAAAGAGUGCGUAACAGCUCACUAGUCGAGAGUUCCUGCGCCGAAAAUGUCCGGGGCUGAAACACGACACCGAAGCCGUGGACUCGCAAUGCGAGUGGUAGAGGAGCAUUCUUAAAACCGACGAAGCUGUACCGGAAGGAGCAGUGGAGGGAUAAGAAGAGAGAAUGCCGGAAUGAGUAGCGAGAGAAAGGUGGGAAUCCUUUCGGCCGAAUAUCUAAGGUUUCCAGAGUAAAGCUGAUCUGCUCUGGGUAAGUCGGGGCCUAAGCACAGGUCGCAAGACGUAAGCGAUGGAUAACAGGUUUAGAUUCCUGUACCACGCAUUAUCAGAACUGUAGGGACGCAUGUGGAAAGCACGGGCCGGGAAUGGAAAGACCGGUACAAGCGGGGUAGGUGUACAAUAGGCAAAUCCGUUGUAUGAUCCGAAGACGUGAUGUGGAGCGAAAUAAAGUAGCAAAGCGUGUGAGCCAUGUGCCGAGAAAAGCUGCUAUUGUGUAAUGCGUGCCCGUACCGUAAACCGACACAGGUGGAUGAGGAGAGAAUCCUAAGGCCGACGGAAGAAGCAUUGUUAAGGAAUUCGGCAAAAUGACCCCGUAACUUCGGGAGAAGGGGUGCCUGCGAGAGCAGGCCGCAGAGAAUAGGCUCAAGCAACUGUUUAGCAAAAACACAGGUCUAUGCGAAACCGAAAGGUGAAGUAUAUGGGCUGACGCCUGCCCGGUGCUGGAAGGUUAAGAGGAGAGGUUAGCGAAAGCGAAGCUUUGAAUUUAAGCCCCAGUAAACGGCGGCCGUAACUAUAACGGUCCUAAGGUAGCGAAAUUCCUUGUCGGGUAAGUUCCGACCCGC